GAGUGUGACAAGGAAGAGAGACUGGGCUCAAGGAGAGGACACCCUUAGUCCUGAGGGUUCACAGUGGGAUUUUAAACACCAUCAACUGAUCCCUGUUAGACCUUGGGCCAGAGCCUCCAUGUUUCUUUCUUCCCAAUCACUGAAUAUUCCAUAGACAGGGGCAUGAGAGGACCCAUGCCCUGUGAAACAGAAAGCUUGGAGAUUCUAGGGCGAGGGCCUAGGCAAUUUCUUCACCGACUCAAAUCUGUUCUUGCCAUGCCAGGCCCUUCUAGAACCUUGGUUCUGGGGGCUGGUGGAGGCCUGGGAACUGUUCCACAUAUGGGCACAGAGGCAGGCAGCCCUGGAGGAAGAGGCCCACUGCCCAGGGCUGUGUACAGAUUCUCCACUGUCAGGAGAGAAGAGAGGAGGCGCUGGAGGAACAAACUCAUGUACUUCUAGAGCAACAGGAACGCUGUGCAGGCCUCACAGACACGGGGCAGGGGUGACCACAGAAGGCUAAUGACUCAAACAACAGCACAAUAGCAUUGGCAAAUCAUGGAGACAUUCUGAGGAUGGAGUUGCUCCAAAGGUCCAAGCCACAGCAUGAGACUCUUACAGGGAUCAGAAACAGACCAUCGGUCAAGACUCCUUGGCCGAGCAUGGAAACCUGGGUUUGGAAGUGGCUGGGGACACCAGGGUCCGCUUGUUUGAGGGGAAAGACAGGCAAACAAAUGGAAAAAGAGUCUUGACAACUUCUGUCUAUGAAUAAGUGACCUUGGGCGAGUCCCCAUACAACUGUAAGCCCCAGACAUCCCUAGAGCAGCAGGGGGACCCUGUCCUCCACAUUAUAGAGAGGCUGGCUCCAUGUCCUAUCUACACCUGGCCCUAACAUUCGUUCCUCACAUCACAAAACCAGGCUUUAUGGACAUUCUAGGGCAAGCUUUCUCUGCCUAGUCACAAAUCAAAUGUCCAUAGCAGAGCAAGAGCCCUGGGGGAUCCUGGGAAUUGAAGUUAGUGUUUCAGAAUGAAGAGAGAACCCCUUUGGAUGUAUGCAUGCUUGGGAACUUCUGAGGGACAUUGGCAGGUGGCAGCUCACCUUGGUACAGGGGGGCAUGGUGAUAUUUAAGUGACAGAGGAUGUGCUGUGUGUCUUCAUACUUCAUCGCCUUCCGCAGGAAUGACAAGAACCCUCCUGGCUCGCGACUGCUGUCUCUCACCUAGAUUCAAUUACACACAGGGAACUUUAGCAGGACCCUUCAUGCUUCUAGGCUGGUGUUCUCAGGGGCUCCUGCCUCCCAAACUCCUGGACCAAGUAAAGAGGGUGGCCAUAGGAGGCCAGCACCUUCACAGGGAUGGCCAAACG